GCACUGCUGAGGAGUCCCACAAUAGAACAAAACGGCCGUCUAGUAC
rfam:Schistosoma mansoni, Puerto Rico, WGS project CABG01000000 data, contig: 0199